GACAGAGGAUGCAAGCGUUAUCCGGAAUCAUUGGGUUUAAAGGGUCCGUAGGCGGUUUAAUAAGUCAGUGGUGAAAGCCCAUCGCUCAACGGUGGAACGGCCAUUGAUACUGUUAGACUUGAAUUAUUAGGAAGUAACUAGAAUAUGUAGUGUAGCGGUGAAAUGCUUAGAGAUUUACAUGAAAUACCAAAUUGCGAAGGCAG
rnacentral:rRNA from 1 species